AUGAAUUCUGUCGGGUCCCAAAACACGUGGUCUAAAGUCCUUUGGGCUCCUGUUGCUGCCAGCACUGACAAUAUGCUCUUGACCCUGGGCGGGGUGGGCGGGGGCGGGGGGCUCCUCUUUCCCUUGGUGACACGCCCCGCCCCUCGGUCCCUCACUGGCACUUCUCCCUCCGGCCACACGGCGGCGUCUCGCGAGAGUGCAGCGGCCGAUGGUACAGCUCGCUCCCCCUCGCGCCCUCGGACAGUGGGUCCUUCCACUUCUAGAAAAGGAUUGUGGGACGGCAGGUCGGUCUUUCUUCCUUUUGGUGCGAGCUUGGCGUGGUUUUUGCGCUGGGUCUUCCGGGAUGGCGCUUGGCUGUGGCCGCGUGGUCUCUCACGCCGGGGCGCCGGGCAGGGGAACGCGGCCACCCUGAGUCUGGUGAGUCGACUGCGGCGGCCGGACCGUGUCCGAGGUGUCCGGGGCCGUGAACGCGUGAAGGGUAAGCGGCCUGGCCUCGCGCCUGCGUUCCCAAGCUUGGAAACGGGGAGCUGGUGGAUUUGUGUUUAGAUCAUCGACUAUGCCCGGGAGUUCUCCAGAUAAGCCUGGCUUUAUUUUCGUUAGUGAAAAGGCCUUACCUGACUUUAUGCCUGCCCUGCCCCCGGGUAAAAUAACUUAAAAGCAGAGGGCCUGGUGACGGCUGUUUCCAUAUGCGGUACUCGGCGGCAGUGAUCACCUACCCUGCUUGUGAGUUUUCACGUUGGUGCGAGACGAGUCGCCAUUUAAAACGCAUCUCAUUUCACUUUUCAUUACUAAGUCGGAUUUUAAAUAGAAAAUUUCUCUGAAAUGUAGUGUUCGUUUUUAGGCUGUAAUCAGAAGAUUACUGUCAGCCAGUCAGCAACCUUAUGUCCUAGAGCCGACCUCGCGCAGUGUCAGCCUUUGUGUUGCCCAUUCACUUUGGAAACUAGUGAAUGUGGUGUCAAAAAAGGCGUAAAUUAAACGCUUUGCAGCCUUUUCCUGCCCUUGAAUUUGGUAUCUUUGGUGUAGGAGCUGCAUAAGUAACAGUUGCUGCUUUUACAUUUACACGCGUGAUCUUGACCCCGCCAGCCACAAGUGUAUGGUUUGUCUUAACCAGUUUUAAUUUUU